UACGUAGGGUCCAAGCGUUAUCCGGAAUCACUGGGCGUAAAGCGUGCGUAGGCGGAUGUUUGCGUGAGAUGCGAAAUCCUAUGGCUCAACCAUAAGGACUGUUUCUCAUACGGGGCAUCUUGAGGACGGCAGAGGCAAGCGGAAUUACUGGUGUAGCAGUGAAAUGCGUAGAUAUCAGUAGGAACACCAAUGGCGAAGGCAGCUUGCUGGGCCGUUUCUGACGCUAAGGCAACGGAAAGCGUGGGGAGCGAACAGG
rnacentral:rRNA from 1 species